rnacentral:rRNA from 1 species
AGAUUAAGCCAUGCAUGUCUAAGUAUAAGCAACUAUACGGUGAAACUGCGAAUGGCUCAUUAAAUCAGUUAUCGUUUAUUUGAUAGUACCUUACUACAUGGAUAACCGUGGUAAUUCUAGAGCUAAUACAUGCUAAAAACCUCGACUUCGGAAGGGGUGUAUUUAUUAGAUAAAAAACCAAUGCCCUUCGGGGCUCCUUGGUGAAUCAUAAUAACUUAACGAAUCGCAUGGCCUUGCGCCGGCGAUGGUUCAUUCAAAUUUCUGCCCUAUCAACUUUCGAUGGUAGGAUAGUGGCCUACCAUGGUAUCAACGGGUAACGGGGAAUUAGGGUUCGACUCCGGAGAGGGAGCCUGAGAAACGGCUACCACAUCCAAGGAAGGCAGCAGGCGCGCAAAUUACCCAAUCCCGACACGGGGAGGUAGUGACAAUAAAUACUGAUACAGGGCUCUUUUGGGUCUUGUAAUUGGAAUGAGUACAAUUUAAAUCCCUUAACGAGGAACAAUUGGAGGGCAAGUCUGGUGCCAGCAGCCGCGGUAAUUCCAGCUCCAAUAGCGUAUAUUAAAGUUGUUGCAGUUAAAAAGCUCGUAGUUGAACCUUGGGCCUGGCUGGCCGGUCCGCCUCACCGCGUGUACUGGUCCGGCCGGGCCUUUCCUUCUGGGGAACCUCAUGCCCUUCACUGGGCGUGUUGGGGAACCAGGACUUUUACUUUGAAAAAAUUAGAGUGUUCAAAGCAGGCCUUUGCUCGAAUACAUUAGCAUGGAAUAAUAGAAUAGGACGUGUGGUUCUAUUUUGUUGGUUUCUAGGACCGCCGUAAUGAUUAAUAGGGAUAGUCGGGGGCAUCAGUAUUCAAUCGUCAGAGGUGAAAUUCUUGGAUUGAUUGAAGACUAACUACUGCGAAAGCAUUUGCCAAGGAUGUUUUCAUUAAUCAGUGAACGAAAGUUAGGGGAUCGAAGACGAUCAGAUACCGUCGUAGUCUUAACCAUAAACUAUGCCGACUAGGGAUCGGACGGUGUUAGUAUUUUGACCCGUUCGGCACCUUACGAGAAAUCAAAGUUUUUGGGUUCUGG